rnacentral:lncRNA from 1 species
CUUAAACUAACUCUGUGUUUUCUGCUGUCUUUCAGUGUGCAAGCUGGGCAUCCAUAAGAAGUGUGAGGUGAAGGUCCUUGCAGAUGCAUGUGUGGCACCUACCGGAUCACCUACCAAGCCGCCGGCGACUCCUCAGCUGCCGUUGAAGCAUGUAGAAACUCCGGGAACCCCAAGGUCCUGUAAGAGUGARCAGACUAGACGAAGGCCAUCACGGUAAGAGAGACCACUGUCUUUCCCUCACUAUCCAGGCGGUCACUAUUCCUCAUCUACUGCAGYAUACRGCCACGAUUACACCUGUUUCUCUGACCUCACGUUUCGGUUCAUUGAUGCCCAUAGCGCUCAACACACACUGAAAUCCGUGGACACAKG